UGGGGAAUAUUGCACAAUGGGCGCAAGCCUGAUGCAGCCAUGCCGCGUGUAUGAAGAAGGCCUUCGGGUUGUAAAGUACUUUCAGCGGGGAGGAAGGGAGUAAAGUUAAUACCUUUGCUCAUUGACGUUACCCGCAGAAGAAGCACCGGCUAACUCCGUGCCAGCAGCCGCGGUAAUACGGAGGGUGCAAGCGUUAAUCGGAAUUACUGGGCGUAAAGCGCACGCAGGCGGUUUGUUAAGUCAGAUGUGAAAUCCCCGGGCUCAACCUAGGAACUGCAUCUGAUACUGGUCAGCUAGAGUCUUGUAGAGGGGGGUAGAAUUCCAUGUGUAGCGGUGAAAUGCGUAGAGAUGUGGAGGAAUACCGGUGGCGAAGGCGGCCCCCUGGACAAAGACUGACGCUCAGGUGCGAAAGCGUGGGGAGCAAACAGG
rnacentral:rRNA from 1 species